CCCUGCCCUAGGAACAGCAGUCUUUGCCUGAAGACCACACAGCGUUCACCAAGGAUGGUUGGGAUUCGAAGUCAGUCCAAAUGUCUGGGUGUGAAGUCAACAUGACGAGGAGGACUGGAUGUCAGCUUGUCCCCAAGACAUGGUCAGAAAUGGAGCCUUUGUGCUUACCAAAGGUAACCUGAUAUGAAGACUAAUGUAAAAUAUUCAUCUUUUACAACACAUGUCUUUUCGGGAUCAAUUGCUUAGCCUGAGACGUCCAAGGCCCAAAGAAGGUAAGAUGUGGGCCUGGGCUUAACACCAUAAAGAGGCCUGGGAUCAAUGGAAAAGACAUGGUGGCCUGGGUCUAAACUUCGGAUGAAGAGGCCUGGGCCUAAUGAAGAAAAGAAAUGGACCUGGGCCUAACACAUCCCCUGAAGAAGCCUGGGCCCACUGAAGAAAAGUUGUGGGCCUGGGCCUAACCUGUACCCUGAAGAAGCCCAGGCCCAGAGAAGAAAGUUGUGGGCCUGGGCCUAACCUGUACCCUGAAGAGGCCUGGGCCCAGUGAAGAAAAGUUGUAGGCCUGGGCCUAACCUGUACCCUGAAGAAGCCCAGGCCCAGAGAAGAAAGUUGUGGGCCUGGGCCUAACCCGUACCCUGAAGAGGUCCAGACUCAGUGAAGAAAAGAUAUGGGCCUGGGCUUAACACUUCCCCUGAAGAGACCUGGGCCCAAUAAGGAAAAGAUAUGGGCCUGGGCCUAAACCUUCCCCUGACACGGCCGGGGCCAAAUGAGGAAAGUUGUGUGCCUGGGCCUAACCCAUAUCCUGAAGAGGCCCCGGCCCAGUGAAGAAGAAAUGUGGGUCUGGGCCUAACCCUUGCCCUAAGAUGUUCAGGCGCAGUAAAGAAAGGUUUUGGGCCUGGGCCUAACCCGUACCCUGAAGAGGCCUGGGCCCAGUGAAGAUAAGUUGUUGGCCUGGGCCUAACACAAAUCAUGAAAAGGCCUGGGCCCAGUGAAGAAAAGUUGUGGGCUUGGGCCUAACCUGUACCCUGAAUAGGCCCGGGCCCAGAGAAGAAAAGUUGUGGGUCUGGGCCUAACUCGUACCCUGAAGAGGCCCUGGCCCAGUGAAGAAAAGUUGUGGGCCUGGGCCUAACCCGUACCCUGAAGAGGCCCAGUCCCAGUGAAGAAUAGUUGUGGGCCUAGGCCUAACACGCAUCCUGAAGAGGCCCGGGCCCAGUGAAGAAAAGUUGUGGACCUUGGCCUAACCCGUACCCUGAAGAGGCUCAGGCCCAGUGAAGAAAAGUUUGGGCCUGGGCCUAGCACUUAUCCUGAAGAGGCUCAGGUGCAGUAAACAAACGUUUUGGGCCUGGUCCUAACCCAUAUCCUGAAGAGGCCUGGACCCAGUGAAGAAAAGUUGUGGAUCUGGGCCUAACUGUUACCCUGAAAUGCAAUGAGUCCAAGGAGAAAAACUGUGGGCCUGGGCCUAACUCCAACCCUUAAGAGGCCCGGGCCCAGUGAAGAAUACUUGUUGGCCUGGGCCUAACCCAUACCCUGAAGAGACCCGGGCCCAGUGAAGAAAAGUUGUGGGCCUGGGCUUAAUCUGUACCCUAAAGAGGUCCGGGCCCAGUGAAAAAAAGCUCUCGGCCUGGGCCUAACCCAUAUCCUGAAGAGGCCUGGGUCCAGUGAAGAAAAGUUGUGGGCCUGGGCCUAACCAUUACCAUGAAGAAGCCCAGGCCCAAUGAAGAAAAGAUAUGGGCCUGGGCCUAACAAUUCCCCUGAAGAGACCUGGACCCAAUAAGGAAAAGAUAUGGGCCUGGGCCUAAAGCUUCCCCUGACGCGGCCUGGGCCAAAUGAGGAAAGUUGUGUGCCUGGGCCAAACCCAUAUUCUGAAGAGGCCCGGGCCCAGUGAAGAAAAAUUGUGGGUCUGGCCCUAACCCUUGCCCAGAAGAGGCCCGGGCCCAGUGAAGAAAAGUUGUGGGCCUGGGCCUAACCCAUACCCUGAAGAGGCUCGAAUCCAGUGAAAAAAAGUUGUGGGCCUGGGCUUAACCUGUACCCUAAAAAGGCCCGGGCCCAGUGAA